ensembl:lncRNA
GUUGAGCAGGUUCGCUGGCUGGAAGUUUGAGUCUCCGCCUUUGCCGAGGUCUGAGCGUGCAGAGGGAAAGAGGGGUAGCUACCCGGUGGGCCCCCGGGCGCGGGGAGAGAGGGCACCCCUCCAAACGCCUCCUUAAGGUGCGCAGCGGAGGUCGCUGCGCGCACCCGGCGCGUGUCCGGGCUCGCGGCGUAAGGAGCUGAGGGCAGGGUCCCGGUGGCCGUCACUUCGCAGUGCCUGCCUGGGGCAAGGUUUUCUGGUCGAGUGACCUGGGCUCUGCGGCGCCCGCGAGAAACCAGGAGGCGGUCGACCCGGGCUUAACUCCUCCGAGCGCUGUUGAUAAGCAGGGAGGGAGACCGAGGCUGGCUGCCGCCCCGAUCGCCGCGGCCGGGGAGGUGUAGACGCCCCGGGAGCCGCCGGCCCGAUGGGCUGGCUGCAACCAGGCCAGUCCCAUUCCGCGGGCAUCUCUCCCGCCGCCCCACCACUUCGCAUCCCCUCCUGGUUCAGGAUUUUGGGUUUGAGAGGCGGAUCCGGGCCUAGCGUGGUCAGAUUCCGGCUCCCCGGGCUUUGGCGGGAAGCUCGUUCACCUCCUCGUCCUCCUCUCGCUUUGUACCUGGAUGCGGCUGGCUGUUUAGAGUUGGGGUUGAACUUUUCCUGCACUUGCGGCGUCCUGGGGACCCCCGGUAGGGGGCGCCGAGAGCGAGCGCUGGAAGAGGGCCUGAGGAUGCUGGCUGGCUAGGAAGGCUUCCUCUGUGCCCGGUGAGUUGGUGGGGUCCGGGUGAGCAAAGCACAGGACCAGGCGGAUCUUGCCAUCAUUUCCUAGAGGCGGAGGGUGGCGCG